rnacentral:rRNA from 1 species
UACAGAGGAGCCAAGCGUUGUCCGGAUUGACUGGGCGUAAAGCGCACGCAGGCGGGUGCGCGCGUGGGGUGUGAAAUCUGGCCGCUUAACGGCCAGGCGCCAUCCCAUACGGCGCGCCUGGAGCCUUGCAGAGGUCGGUGGAAUUGCCGGUGUAGUGGUGAAAUGCGUAGAUAUCGGGAGGAACACCGGUGGCGAAGGCGGCGACCUGGGUAGAUACGUGACGCUGAGGUGCGAAAGCGUGGGGAGCAAACAGG